AAUCCCUCCCGGAGUCUGACGUCACUGCAGUGCUGGCCAAUGAGAAGUCGGGUAGGGGGAUUCCCGCUCCGGCGGCCGCCCAGCAGGCUUUUUAAACGGUACUCUGGGGACCACGCUCUAGGAGAGGUGGGAGGAGUGGGAGGAAAAUGGAGGUUAGGAGUGAAAUAUGAUCGUCCUAGGGGACGAGACUCCAGAGGGUUGACGAUUAAGGGUCAAGACUGGCUUAGACUUGGGGUUUGACGAUUAAGCGUCAAGACUGGCGUAUUCUUGGGGGACAAAACCAAAAGCGGUGGAGGAGAGGCUACACUCGAGCCAGCAGGACAAACGCCUCCAGAGAUGGAGUGGAAACUGGAGCGCACCGCCCGGAGGAGAGUCCGCACUGAAGAAGAGAUUCUGUGGGAGGGUGUCAUGCGGGUGCUCGACAAAGACAUGAAACAGAAGAGAGGUCAAGUUUCUCCCAAGGUAGUUAAUGUAGUUAAUACUACAUACUCGAACUUCACCAGCAACUUGGCAAAGAGACGGUCAGCUGAAGUUCCUGUUGCCAGUAGCCCGAUGACCACAAGAUGGCGGCAGAGCCAAGCCAGGGAGGCGACAGCCCGCCCCUCUGGGGAGGAGCGGUCCACCCCUGACCUCCCGGGAACGGUGCUGAGGAUGACUCCUGGCGAAGAGACCGUGGCUCCAGGAUCCUACAAGGAACCGCUGAAGACCCCCAACAAAGGAAGUUCUGAAACCAAUAACUCUGCUCUCCAGUUUGGGAAGGCUCCUCAUGCACUGGAGAGAGGCUGGAAGAAUAAAGUUGCUUCAAAAGGCCCGAAGUGCUUAAAUCAGCUAUUUUCAACCCAGAACGUGGCUCAGCAGGUUAAUGGGAGCAUGCAGCUCUGUGAGAGAUCCCAAUGCACUUGGAAAGGCUGCAGCGAUGGAGUCAGAGAUGAAUACUUCCAAAGAUUCGGUGAUAUAAACUAUUCCAUACUCCAACCAGAGGCGAAGAUUCAUCUUAUAGGUCUUCGAAAUGACUAUUAUCUGAAUAUCCUGGACUGGAAUUUUCAAAAUCUUGUUGCCAUAGCCCUUGGAUCUUCCGUAUACAUCUGGAAUGGGGAUGAUCACAACAGAAUUGAAAAUAUAUACUUACGUCUCACUUGUAACUAUAUAUCUUCUGUGUCCUGGAUAAAAGAGGGAACCUGCCUGGCAGUUGGCACCAGUGAGGGAGAAGUACAGUUAUGGGAUGUGGUCACUAAAAAGCGAUUGAGAAAUAUGCUUGGCCAUUUAUCAGUAGUUGGGGCUCUAAGCUGGAAUCAUUAUAUCCUCAGCAGUGGGUCGAGACUGGGCCGUGUUUAUCAUCAUGAUGUUCGGGUAGCCCAACACCAUGUUGGAACUCUUCAACACAAACAAGCUGUGUGUGGGCUGAAGUGGGCACCGGGCGGCACGCUGCUUUCCAGUGGCUGUAGUGAUGGACUGCUAACUAUAUGGCCCCAUGAUCCGGGUGCAAACACACAGGGCCACCCACUAAAAGUCAUACAUCAACCUACAGCAGUCAAGGCCAUUGAUUGGUGUCCCUGGCAGACUGAAGUCCUCGCUGUUGGAGGAGGAAUGAAGGAUGGACGCUUACACAUCCUGGACAUAAAUACUGGACAGAGUAUCCAGACCCCAAGCACAAACUCACAGAUUUGUUCCCUAACUUGGCUACCUAAGACAAAGGAGAUUGCAACUGGCCAAGGUUCUCCCAAGAAUGAUGUGACUAUGUGGACCUGUCCUGGUCUGGCCAGGUCACGUGGAUUUUUUGACCACCGAGGCCGAGUGCUACACCUGGCUUUGAGUCCAGACCAGACCCGCGUCUUUUCUGCUGCAGCGGAUGGCACAGCCUGCAUAUGGAAUUGCUGCUAGUCACUCAGCCCCUCCCAGCUUCAGCUUCCUCAUUUUGACAUGAGAAUAAUGAUACUGGCCUUGCCUUCUCCAUGGCAUUAUCAUGAGGCUCAAACAAGAUGGUACUUUUCCUGAGAUUAAGAUCAAGAUCUAUGAGUAAAUCAUCUAGAUCAAGAUGUGAACAUUUCUUUUACACCAGAAGAUUCUUUGUGUCACUUAAUCAACACCCCUCCAUUAUUCCGACCUUGGUCACCAUGAAUUAAUUUUGCCUUCUGCCAAUCUUCAGAUAAAUGCAAUAAUACAGUGCAAGAUAAACCAGAGAUCUUCCUCGGGAAUUUUUGGUAAGAUAGGUUGCAUCAGCCCUUGUCCACCAUUUCUACCUCCAAAAACUGCCAGACCAUGGAGAAAACCCAAGCUCUACACUUGUUGGCACAGUUCGGCCUAGCCCCAGAGUCGUUAUUAGUGCCUAGAAAGAGUUUAAGGAAUAUCUAGAGCUACUCAGGGCUAUUGUACCCAGGGCUAUGCCCUAUUACCCUUCUAGAGAGAAUCCCAUGACUUUUACAGCAUUUUAAACUAAUGCCUGUGCAGCUCACAUAAAAUCAGGCUAGUUGGUUACUACUUAGUGCAUCAAAGAAUAUACUUAAUACAAAACACUAUAGCACUGCCAAAGAGCUCCCAGUGUCCUAAUGUAUUCCCAAGGACAUACUAGCCUAGAGAAAAAAUGAUGAAUAUUUGAAUCAUUUUGACUUGGGGGGUACAUCUAGGUCAGGUUUUUUUUUUUUUUAAGACUGAUGGAUUAUUGAAGUACAGUUGAUUUUGUUGUUAAAACUAUCUAUGCAUUUUCUGCAGCAAGAAAAGCUGAGGUGUCACUAUUCCUUUCCUGAAAGGUGCUAUUUGUUUUCCUAAUUUAAGAGCUUUAUGUCUGUUUGAUUACUUGUUUUUACAGUGUCCUUUUGGGCAAUUUUCAAGCCACAAAUUGGCAGCACUGGUGGUUCCAUUAUCUUUUAAUAAAGGAAUUGUAAAGAAGAAAGAAGGAUUUUUCCUUCUAAAAUAAAGAUAUCUGUGGAGGGACUGCCCAGGUGCCCCAGUGGUUAAGAUUCUGUGCUCCCAAUGCAACGGCACGGGUUCAAUCCCUGGUCUGGGAACUAAGAUCCCACA